UACGGAAGGUGCGAGCGUUGUCCGGAAUCACUGGGCGUAAAGGGCGCGUGGGCGGCCUGAUAAGUAGGGGGUGAAAUCCUGCGGCUUAACCGCAGGGCUGCCUUCUAAACUGUCAGGCUAGAGCACAGUAGAGGCAGGUGGAAUUCCCGGUGUAGCGGUGGAAUGCGUAGAGAUCGGGAAGAACAUCAGUGGCGAAGGCGGCCUGCUGGGCUGUUGCUGACGCUGAGGCGCGACAGCGUGGGGAGCAAACAGG
rnacentral:rRNA from 1 species